rnacentral:rRNA from 1 species
UACCUAAUAGCUAGCUCAACCCUCUAAACCAAAAACUAAACAAUAAACCAAAAAUCAGACCCCUAAAACCCUUAAAACCAUCAAGUAAAUCAUUUUUCCCCUUUAGUAAGGGUGACAGAAAAA